UACGAGGGGGGCAAAUGUUGUUCGGAAUCACUGGGCGUAAAGGGAGCGUAGGCGGGCUUCUAAGUUAGAUGUUUAAUCCCGGGGCCCAACCCCGGACAGGCACCUAAAACUGGAAGUCUUGAAUAGUGGAGAGAACGGCGGAAUUGGGGGUGUAGCGGUGGAAUGCGUAGAGAUCCCCAAGAACACCAGUUGCGAAGGCGGCCGUCUGGACACAUAUUGACGCUGAGGCUCGAAAGCAUGGGGAGCAAACAGG
rnacentral:rRNA from 1 species